GNGANCUGCGGANGANCAUUAUUGAAUAAGCUUGGUUGGGUUGUUGCUGGCUCUUCGGGGCAUGUGCACGCCCGACACCAACUUUUCUUACCACCUGUGCACUUUUUGUAGACUUGGGAAUUUACCCCUUCUCGAGGAAACUCGGUUUGAGGACUGCCGUGCGCAAGCCGGCUUUCCUUGCAAUUUCCGGUCUAUGUUUUCAAAUAUACCCCUAUAGUAUGUUAACAGAAUGUCAUUUUAUUUGGCUUAAUUGGCCUUUAAAACCUAUACAACUUUCAACAACGGAUCUCUUGGCUCUCGCAUCGAUGAAGAACGCAGCGAAAUGCGAUAAGUAAUGUGAAUUGCAGAAUUCAGUGAAUCAUCGAAUCUUUGAACGCACCUUGCGCUCCUUGGUAUUCCGAGGAGCAUGCCUGUUUGAGUGUCAUGAAAUUCUCAACCUUAUCAGCUUUUUGUUGAUUAGGCUUGGAUGUGGGGGUUUUGCGGGCUUUUCUCAAAAGUCGGCUCUCCUUAAAUUUAUUAGCGGGACCUUUUGGUUGCCCCCUGCCCUAGUGUGAUAAUUAUCUACGCUAUUGCUGGAGUGACUUGGUGCAGCUUCUAAUUGUCUCGAUCUUGAGACUAAUUUUAUUACUUAUGACAAUUUGACCUCAAAUCAGGUAGGACUACCCGCUGAACUUAAG
rnacentral:rRNA from 1 species